rnacentral:rRNA from 1 species
UACGUAGGGUGCAAGCGUUGUCCGGAAUUAUUGGGCGUAAAGGGCUCGUAGGCGGUUUGUCGCGUCGGGAGUGAAAUCCACUGGCUUAACUGGUGGCUUGCUUUCGAUACGGGCAGACUGGAGGUAUGCAGGGGGAGAACGGAAUUCCUGGUGUAGCGGUGAAAUGCGCAGAUAUCAGGAGGAACACCGGUGGCGAAGGCGGUUCUCUGGGCAUGUCCUGACGCUGAGGAGCGAAAGUGUGGGGAGCGAACAGG